UGUGGCAGAAAACUUCCCUCUGCAGACGAACGAGAGAAGAAGAGAAAACAAAAUAAAACCAUACUUCGAACUUCAGAUUCAAAACGUUCGAAAGCUUUGCGAAAGGG